rnacentral:rRNA from 1 species
GAUGAACGCUGGCGGCGUGCCUAAUACAUGCAAGUCGAGCGAACGGACGAGAAGCUUGCUUUUCUGAUGUUAGCGGCGGACGGGUGAGUAACACGUGGAUAACCUACCUAUAAGACUGGGAUAACUUCGGGAAACCGGAGCUAAUACCGGAUAAUAUUUUGAACCGCAUGGUUCAUAAGAGAAAGACGGUCUUGCUGUCACUUAUAGAUGGAUCCGCGCUGCAUUAGCUAGUUGGUAAGGUAACGGCUUACCAAGGCAACGAUGCAUAGCCGACCUGAGAGGGUGAUCGGCCACACUGGAACUGAGACACGGUCCAGACUCCUACGGGAGGCAGCAGUAGGGAAUCUUCCGCAAUGGGCGAAAGCCUGACGGAGCAAUGCCGCGUGAGUGAUGAAGGUCUUCGGAUCGUAAAACUCUGUUAUUAGGGAAGAACAGAUGUGUAAUAAACUGUGCACAUCUUGACGGUACCUAAUCAGAAAGCCACGGCUAACUACGUG